GACGAACGCUGGCGGCGUGCUUAACACAUGCAAGUCGAACGGAAAGGCCCUGCUUUUGUGGGGUGCUCGAGUGGCGCACGGGUGAGUAACACGUGAGUAACCUGCCCUUGACUUUGGGAUAACUUCAGGAAACUGGGGCUAAUACCGGAUAUGAUCUCCUGCUGCAUGGUGGGGGUUGGAAAGUUUCGGCGGUUGGGGAUGGACUCGCGGCUUAUCAGCUUGUUGGUGGGGUAGUGGCUUACCAAGGCUUUGACGGGUAGCCGGCCUGAGAGGGUGACCGGCAACAUGGGGACUGAGAGAGGGACCAGACUCCUACGGGAGGCAGCAGGGGGGAAUAUUGCACAAUGGGCGGAAGCCUGAGGCAGAAACGCCGCGUGCGGGAUGACGGCCUUCGGGUGGUAAACAGAUGUCGCAUGUGACGAAGCGUGAGUGACGGUAAUGGGUAAAGAAGCACCGGCUAACUACGUG
rnacentral:rRNA from 1 species